rnacentral:misc_RNA from 1 species
AAUUCUCAACCAAUGUCUUCAUUGACUUGGCUUGGAGUUGGGGGUUUGCUGGCGGGUUCUGUCGUCAGCUCUCCUGAAAUGCAUUAGUGAUCAGUUAUUGGGCGUGCACGGCCUUUCGACGUGAUAAUGAUCGUCGUUGGCUGGAGUGUUGGAUCCUUGUGCGAGAUCGCUUCCAAUCCUAAUGAAAUGGAGCAAUUCCAUCUCAUCGUUCGAAU